GAGGGGAACAGCAUGUUGCUGAUUAUAGUUUAAAUGUGGCAAUUUCCUUUGCAAAUAGCCAAUCAUCAACCAAGAAACGUUUCCUAAACCCUACUAUGUGCCAGGUGCUAAGACUCUGAAAGCCUAAUACCUCGUCAUUGUGGUUAUUUGUCUUUCAUUCUCGAAGAGGACCAUGACAUCAGGGAGGUGAGGCCGUGACAUGCGAAUGGAUUGGAUUUAAACGAGGGAGGGCUGUGCAAAGUCAUCAGCCUCACUCUUUCCUCCAGAGCCAUCUGGGUCCAGUGGCCAGAUAUAGAUCAAGAUGACUGGAGAUGGCCCUGGAUGCACUGGGAGACUCUCAUCACAGAAAAGAGGAAGGCUUCCUACUCUGUCUCCGUCUUUUCAAAGAUGUUCCCUUUGCCAUAAUGGGCUCUAUCCAAGUGAACAGUUGCUACCACUUCCUCAUUGGCUCCCCAUCCCUUCAAAAACAGGAAGUACAGACUUUGAAACUGGAACAGCUCCUCCAAAGCAGGUAAUUUGUUCCAAGAUAAAGGACAUUGGAGCCUUCCUAGAAAGAGAACUCUCUUCUACCUUUUAGCUUAACCAAUGCCAUAAGUAUUGUGGGUCAG
rnacentral:lncRNA from 1 species